AAUGCUGCUGAAAGUAAGAGCAGGGUUUACUGCAAGCCCACCCCUGGCUUUGCCCAUCCUGCCACACUCAGCUGGCUUAAAUGAUGCUGGGAUUUCUUUUCACUGCUGACCACUUAUACUUUUACAUCAUAACCGCCCAGUUUGUAGCUCUGUUAAUUUGUGCAAUAACCGGACAAGGCAGACAGUAUCACUGUCCCCAUUUUACAGAUUCAGAAACUGACAUUCACACACAGAAACCUGCCCCAGGUCACACAGCUGCCAAGUGGUGGAGCUGGAGUUUGAACUGGGGUCUGAGUUCAAAGCCCACACGUGUCUCCCCACCCACCAUACCAUCAGCCCCACUCUUGCCUCAAACUGUGCACAAUAGCUGUUCUCAGUCACCAUGUUCCGCUCAUGACACUGGAUGUUUCUUGUUGUCAGGAUGGCUCUCAGAGUCUUCUGUGAACUGCUACUGCCAAAGGAGAAAUGAACUCACUCUGACCUUACACAGCAGAGCUCAACAGAGGGAUUCCUUCUACCACCUUGGGAAGAAUGUUCCAUUGUGGCAUCACAGUUACCAUGGUAUCACCAAGCAAAUGUCUAGACAUGGAGACCUAGGAGGAGCCAGGAUGAAAAGCCUGCCUGUUUCCUAAACUUGGCAAGGCUAUUCUGGAAGCCUGGCUUUCCCCAAGUCUGGCCGAGAAGACAUCCCUUUUGCUAGAUCACAAAGCCCUGUCCCAUUGCAGCCGUGGUCUGUCUACUUCCUCAGCACCCGCCCUGUGUCUACACAACUUUGUCAGACUGGAUGAAGGAAGCCCACGACUAAACUGAGUCUGGUUUUUCCAACCCCCAUAAGCAUUCUUACAUUUUCAGUGUGGUUUCCUGGAGCCCAGUUUUCCCUAGCCCUUUGGCUUGAUGGUCCCAGCGAAGCCACCAGACUGUCGGCUCUGCCAAACCAUAGGGUCAGAUGGGAGCUGCACUCCAGCCACUGUUAGCAGCUUUGGUUUCAGCACAAAUGGCAGGACUCAAGAGAGCUGUUGACAACAUUGUGGAAUAACCAAGCAAAACCAGCAGAAAUACAACAGUGCUGGUGGACUUUCACCCGCUUAUUUCAAUCCUUGCUGGACUAGAUAGUGCAAAAAGAUGAGGGAGGGAAGAUAAUCCUGCAGCCUCUUCAAGUCCUGGGAGCCUUCUCACUUCAGCAGCAUUAAAACCACGCGGAUACGGACAGAGUGAGCGAUUGCCUCGCUGGCUGCCACCCAGCCUCUUCGCUCGCCCCUCAGGACCGCCCGGCGCAGCCAGUGGACGAGGGACAAAUCAUCGCCCCCACAGGCUGUCUGACCCUGAAGGCUCCCCUCUGUGCCAAACCCUGGACUGGGCCCUGGGGAAACCAAGUCAGAAAGAAGGCCUGGUGCCUCCCUCAGAAAGCUCGGAGUCUGGCAUCCAGGUGCGAGAGAUGCUCUGGAAGAAGCCAUGGGCUUUCAGGGGAAGGAGACUGUCACCUAAGUCACCUAGCCUGGCAGAGCAGGAGGAGGGAGCAUCCUUGAAGACAGCUUUCCGAAGGAGGGGACACCUGACUGGAGACCAUGGAGAUGGACCAGGUAUGAACCGAGUGCUACACUUCUGAGAGAUAGCAGCAAAUCCCCUGUGAGUGGGGUUCUCAGCCUGGGAUGCACCUGGAACCACCUCGGAGCUUCUAAGUGUGUCCACCUCUGGCCCCAAGUCCAGAGGCCCUGGUCUAACUAGUCCGCAGUGGGGCCUGGGCACUUGUAUGUUUUAUAAAUGUCGUAAUUUUUUUAUUAAGGUGAAAUUCACAUAACAUAGAAUUAACCAUUUUAAAGCGAACAGUUCAGUGGCAUUUAGUACAUUCACAUUCACCGCCUCUAUUUGGUUCCAAAACACAUUCGUCGCCCUAAAAUAAAACCUGUAUGCGUUAACCAGUCACUCCCCAUUUCACUCUUACCCCAGCCCCUGGCAACCAUAAAUCUGCUUUCUAUCUCUACGGAUUUAACUACUCUGGAUAUUUUACGUAAAAGGAAUCCUACAAAAUGGGACCUUUGUAUCUGCCUUCUAUCACUUAGCAUAAUGCUUUCAAAGUUCAGCCGUGUUGGGGCAUGUGUCAAUACCUUAUUCCUUUUUAAGGCAAGAUAAUAGUCCAUCAUGCGGAUAUUGCACAAUUUGUUUAUCCACUCAUCUAUCGCUGGACAUGUGGCUUGUUUCCCCCUUUUGGCUAUUGUGAAUAGUGCUAUGAACAUUCGUACACAAAUGUUUAACAUCUAUUUUCAAUCCUUUUGGGUAUA